GUGAUAAUGCUGGAACUGAGCCGUGUUUAUCAUUUUAGCUAUUACAUGUGGGAAAAUAAAUAUUCUCCAAAGAGAGUGCUAUUUCCUAUGUUUGAGCAAGCUUUGGGUACAUUAAUUCAUUAAUCAAGUUUUCUUAGGUAGCAACUAUACGCUUCUGUGUGACUUUGCUAUGUGCUGAGGAUGACCAAAAUGGAAACACAGGUCUUCAAGGAGUUUUGUUUAGUAGAAUGAACAUGAUUUAGGGAGUCAGAUUUUCCCCAAUACCUAAUCUGUAAAAUGGGGACAAUAAUACAUUCCCCAUAAAGUUGUUGUGAGGGUUUUUAUUAUGUAGACUGCCUAAUUUAAAUACAUGGUAAUUUCCUCAAAAGACUUUAUAACGUCUUAAUGAAUACACAACUGAUAGAUAAGAAAUGAUUGUAACAGCUUGAUAUUGGGUGUUAAGUGAGAUUUUUCGCCUGUAAUUGACUUCUAAAGCUCAGAGAAAGAGAACAAAGGUUGCUAAGCACCCUGCCUCUAGGCUUGCGGAACCAACUGCUGGGAGGCAGCUGGGUUUGCAGAGAGGCCGGUGGUCAGCAGCACCUGUGAGGCUAUCAGUCCCUUCUUGGAACGGUUCUUCAAAAUUUACAGUAUGGAAAGCCCAGCGGUGAUGUUCAAGCCUCUACUGAGAAAACAGCAAGGGCUUUGGAUCAGGACAGACCUGGAGCAAAAGAGAAAGAAAUCAGAUGGAAACGAAUCCAUCCAAGUGGAUUAGGUAGAGCAAGUCAGCUUUCUUUAACCCUGAGCUCAAAUUCCAGCCUCUCCUUGAAAUACAGGUAGUUCUUUAUUUACAGAGCAUUAUGUCAACACAGACUUGUGCAUAUGGGAACUGGACACUUGCUUUGUAUGUUUCUUUGGUAACUGAGCU
rnacentral:lncRNA from 1 species